rnacentral:rRNA from 1 species
UACAGAGGUCUCAAGCGUUGUUCGGAUUCAUUGGGCGUAAAGGGUGCGUAGGCGGCGACGGUAAGUCGGGUGUGAAAUCUUGGAGCUUAACUCCGAAACUGCAUUCGAUACUGCCGUGCUUGAGGACUGGAGAGGAGACUGGAAUUUACGGUGUAGCGGUGAAAUGCGUAGAUAUCGUAAGGAAGACCAGUGGCGAAGGCGGGUCUCUGGACAGGUCCUGACGGCUGAGG